rnacentral:rRNA from 1 species
GACGAACGCUGGCGGCGUGCUUAACACAUGCAAGUCGAACGGAAAGGCCUGCUUUCCCUUGUGGAUUGCGGGUACUCGAGUGGCGAACGGGUGAGUAACACGUGAGUGAUCUGCCCCCAACUUGGGUAUAAGCCUGGGAAACUGGGUCUAAUUCCCGAUAGGACUGCAGGGUGGUGCCUGUGGUGGAAAACGAUUUUCUAGUGGUUGGGGAUGAGCUCGCGGCCUAUCAGCUUGUUGGUGGGGUAAUGGCCUACCAAGGCGGCGACGGGUAGCCGGCCUGGGAGGGUGGACGGCAACAUUGGGAAUGAGAUACGGCCCAGACUCCUACGGGAGGCAGCAGUGGGGAAGAUUGCACAAUGGGCGGAAGCCUGAUGCAGCGACGCCGCGUGGGGGAUGACGGCCUUCGGGUUGUAAACUCCUUUCGACCGCGAGGAAGCCACCUGGUUGGAAGGGUGGUGACGGUAGUGGUAGAAGAAGCACCGGCUAACUACGUG